UACGGGGGGAGCAAGCGUUGUUCGGAUUUACUGGGCGUAAAGGGCGCGGUAGGCGGUCAGCACAAGUCAGUUGUGAAAUCUCCGGGCUUAACUCGGAAAGGUCAACUGAUACUGUGCGACUAGAGUGCAGAAGGGGGCAACUGGAAUUCUCGGUGUAGCGGUGAAAUGCGUAGAUAUCGAGAGGAACACCUGCGGCGAAGGCGGGUUGCUGGGCUGACACUGACGCUGAUGCGCGAAAGCCAGGGGAGCGAACGGG
rnacentral:rRNA from 1 species